rnacentral:misc_RNA from 1 species
AAGUCGUAACAAGGUUUCCGUAGGUGAACCUGCGGAAGGAUCAUUAUUGAAAACAAGGGUGUCCAAUUUAACUUGGAACCCAAACUUCUCAAUUCUAACUUUGUGCAUCUGUAUUAAUGGCGAGCAACUUCGGUUGUGAGCCUUCACUUACAAAACACUAUUCUAUGAAUGUAAAAUUUUUAUAACAAAUAAAAACUUUCAACAACGGAUCUCUUGGCUCUC